rnacentral:rRNA from 1 species
GAUGAACGCUGGCGGCGUGCCUAAUACAUGCAAGUCGAGCGAACAGAUAAUGAGCUUGCUCCUUUGACGUUAGCGGCGGACGGGUGAGUAACACGUGGAUAACCUACCUCUAUUACUGGGAUAACUUCGGGAAACCGGAGCUAAUACCGGAUAACAUAUUGAACCGCAUGGUUCAAUAGUGAAUGGCGGCUUUGCUGUCACUUAUAGAUGGUUCCGCGCCGUAUUAUCUAGUUGGUAAGGUAACGGCUUACCAAGGCAACGAUACGUAGCCGACCUGAGAGGGUGAUCGGCCACACUGGAACUGAGACACGGUCCAGACUCCUACGGGAGGCAGCAGUAGGGAAUCUUCCGCAAUGGGCGAAAGCCUGACGGAGCAACGCCGCGUGAGUGAUGAAGGUCUUCGGAUCGUAAAACUCUGUUAUUAGGGAAGAACAGAUGUGUAAGUAAAUGUGCACAUCUUGACGGUACCUGAUCAGAAAGCCACGGCUAACUACGUG